rnacentral:rRNA from 1 species
GGCAAGCGUUUAUUCGGAAUUAUUGGGCGUAAAGGGCGCGUAGGCGGCUUUUCAAGUGACGGGUGAAAUCCCUCGGCUCAACCGAGGACGUGCAUCCAAAACUGCUGGGCUUGAGUACUGAAGAGGAUCGCGGAAUUCCCGGUGUAGAGGUGAAAUUCGUAGAUAUCGGGAGGAACACCAGUGGCGAAGGCGGCGAUCUGGGCAGAUACUGACGCUGAGGUGCGAAAGCGUGGGGAGCAAACAGG